CAGAGCUCUGAGUCUUCCGGAUUCCAGUGUCUGCAGUAGCCAGUCUCCCGACUGCUGGAGGAAAGCUGCCUUCCUAAAAUAGCCACCCAGAGGGGAAGGGCUGCCCUGGAAUUUGACCCUGCCGAUCACCGUGACGGCCUUGCCCAGGCCCUGGGUCCCACCCGGCUCCAUCACCAGGGUCUGCUGGUGGGUGUGGGAGCUGGGUUUUUCCUCUCUCCCCUUCCCUCCUUCCUCUUCCCUUUUGUCCUUUCUCUGCCCCAGCUUUAGGUUAGAAUCCAGAUAGCUCAGGAGGGAUGUUCCCAGGCCUGAUUGGCUGGGGGCGGCGCAGUGGGAGCAGAGAGGGGAGGGACCUGUGUGCCCGCACCUCUCCGCAGGUGAAUGCACACCCACGGGGGGCCCAGCCCCUGGCGGCCAUGCCAGGCCCAAGGCAGCAGCAAGCAGACAGGUCAGACAGGCAGAGCAGCCUGCGGCUGCGGGGCCCUGGCCGAAGGUCCGAUCCCCGUCCCUCCUCAGCCCACAGGUAAUCCUCCUUUUUGUUUUUUCUGCUAGUUUAGUUCACUGUCCACCUCAGGGAACACUUCCAAUGUGAGAAAAAGACCUUUGGCAUCAGCAGGGAAAAUCAUGAAUUUGGAGAGGAUUCAUUGUGGUUCAUGUGUAGGAAAUCUCGCCUUGGCAUCAGCAAAGCAUUUCUGGUUUUCUAGUCCUUUGUUCUGAAGAGUAAAUUUCUUACGGAGCCUGGCAAGUUGGAUGCUUAGUGGCAAAUUAGGAAGGCACGGUCCAGAAACGGUCAGAUGUGUUUGCUGACUGCAAAUGGAAAGCCUGCAAAGGCUUCAUCGUGGCAGGUGGGCUGUUUGCCUUUACUCCAGGGCAGGGGCUUGGCUUUGUCCAGGCAGUGUCCUCAACCCAACUCAGAGACCCUCGGGGGGUGCUGGGCUUCUUCUGAAACCCAAAUUUAUAUUACAGCCCCUUGGCCUGGAUUCUAUUUUGAAAUGGUUUGAAGUUCUGAAAUCACCUCUCCUGUUAAGACUAGACUUGUAAAGCCAGCCUCCAGCAUUCUCACUCCCACCGUAUUUAGGCGGGGAAUGUUCCCUUAGACAGUCUUUUGGGGGAUUUCUGGCUCGAGGAGGAUAGGAAGGGAAGGAGCUCGAGUCUGAAGAGCAAACCUAGGAUCCCCCACCCCCACCCCACCUGAAACCAGGGCUGGUUUUGUCCCAUUUGGUGUCACUGAAAAUGUAUUGACCAUCUCCCCUUGAGCCUUUGCUGUUCUGUCCUGCCUGGGACCAUUAUGGGACAUCACCCGGAUGCCCACUGGGAAGAGCCUCCCUGGGAAGCGAAAGGCUAAGAGCAGGUACAGGGCUGCCUAAAGCUGCACUUGUCCGUCAGACCUUGCAGGGAGAGGACAGGGAAGCUGUUUCUGCUGUUGAACUUUGUGUGAUGGAGAUGAUGUUUUUUAUUAAAUGGUUUGCUUUUUUUUUAAUUCCAAGGUAAUUUGUAACCCAAAUUGCUUAGAUUAUGCAAUAUAUCAGUGAGAUUCCGUCCUCUGUAAGUAAGAGAAAACUGCUACUCAAAAUGACUUUAUCAGAGCCUUAAAAUUUUUAUAAAAUGUAAGUCCAGAGGUCAGGCAUCUUCAUGAUGGCCCAGCGAUGAACAGGAGUUAGGUUCCAUCGGUGUUUCUGCUCUGCCUUUCUCCACUUACCCCACAUGUCUCCUGCCAGCACCCUUCCCAUCAGGCUCCUCCUCGGGGUCUCCUGUUAGGCGGGAGGAGCCUUUCCCAAAGCCCCUGGCUGACUUUCCCACACACCUCAUUGGCCAGAAUUAUGCCUCAUGCUCAGCCCCAACCAGUCAGUGGCAAGGGGAGGGGUUAUUGUGGAGGAAUUUUGGAAGAGGGUAAAUAGGGAGGGGAGGGCAGUUGCCUGAAUCACAUCAGGGCCAGUGAGCCCAGAAGAGAGGGUGGGGGUUGGGAACCAACAUCCGCUACAUCAGGAAAUUUAAAUUUAUUCAGAUUUCCAACUAGGGUAAGACAAUAACAGUGGGUCCUAAAAUACAUGUAUUUUGUACUCAGUUAUUAAUGCAAGGGAAGUUUUACACAAUCAUAUGUCUGCUCAGUCUUUCACUUCCCAGGGGGGCCCUCUUACCAAUAAGCAUCCAGGCUGGUGGUUGUCAGGCAUUUAGACUUUUCUUCCUCCAUGAACCUGCUGCCUCCCAGAGGUGGCUGCUCAAGGCGCCAUCCAUAAGGAUGAGAACAGGAGGAAAUAAAGGCGUCCUAAAUAUUAACAGGCAUUAGAUGGCCAAGUCUCCCCGCUUAGCAAAGGCAGAGACAACAGGCUUCUGCCUGGCAGCCCCCAGGAGCCAGCGGGUGCACCCACCACUUGCCCGAGGACACCGUGGGAUCAGCAGAGGGACAGCUGUGCACCAUCACCUACCAGAGACUUGCUGGAGUUUUUUCUCCAGGGCAGGUGCAGGUGGCCCCUGAAAUUCGGGAGAAAUGAGGGUGGUAGCUACACUACUAGGAAAAAACUGGCUCCAGUAGACACAGACCUGAUGGUAAUUUUUGAGGCUGAACAUCCAAAUUGGUCUUUAUUUGGCCUCAUCCCUGAGACCCGCCGCUGUUAAGGCAGGGUUCUCUCCACCCCUGGACAGAAGUCACCUGCAGAUCUAGGCAGGUGUCUUGAGUUCCUUUGAGCCUCCAUCGCCUUCUGCUGCCAGGUUAGGUAUUUUAGAUGAGAUCAAUGCAAGACUAGAAAAACUCCCUCCAGCUUUCAACAUCAUUGUGAAAUUUGGGAGGACACUGGUGGCUGGUGUUAGACAUCCUCAGAUUCCCUUCAAAGCCUGGAGGGCAGGGGAGUGUGUGAUGCAAAACCGUGACUCAUUCUCAGCACGCUGCUUCCCCCCAGCCGGAUCUGAACCUCCGUGUGGAGCUGGGAAUCCACAUUUACCAACCGCCCAGGUGAUUCCUAACCUGAUAAACAUGCUCUGCUGGGACUUCCUUUGGGACAAAAUUGGACAUAUUGGAGGCUUUUUUUCCACAGUAAAACAUCGUAAUUUAAGUCUAGUCUAGCUUGCUUUUUAGGCUGAGCAUUUCAGGUUCACCUGUUUGGUGGCAGAGGACUAAGGUAAGUGCAAAUGCCCACUGGACAGUUAGUAGCCAGGAGAGGAUGAGCUCUCCACCCCACGUCCUGGUGAGUGUGUGGGAAGGCCUCGGAGGGGCUCUCUCUGCCCGGGCAGAGGGACCCUGCUGGCUCAUGAGCUGCUUUCCUCCGCACAACCUUGCCUGGAACUCGGGUUUUUGGGAUCUUCCUUGCUGGAGUAGAGGUCAUACUGACCCUCUCAGGACUACCUCUGCGUGUCCCCACACCCACACGGUAGAGGAACUGUUCGUUGGUGGCCAGCAGCUAAACGUUCAAGCAGCCUCUGUGGUGGAGAGUUUGAGAGGCCAGCCUGGCAGGGCUGUAAGAGCCAGUAACCCAACCCAAUGCUAGUCUAGGGGGAGCUGUGACGGCAUUUGGCGGAACAUCCACUAUCCGUUGGCUUAAGUGAACAUUAUCCUCUGCGUGGGUGGGCCUCAUCCAAUCAGUUGAGAGGCCGUCAGGGCAAAGCUGGGGUUUUCCCAAGGAAGAAGUUCCACCUGUGGACUGCAGCGUCAGCGCCUGCCUGAGACUUCCCAGCCCACCAGGCUGCCCUACAGCUGCAGCCCUGCUGAGCGAGCCCCACACUCAGGCGAGCCAGUUCCUUGAUGGGGGUCGCAGGGAGAGGCAGGCAGGCCUGCCCCCUGAGUCAUCGGCGGGGCCAGCUGUGCGUGUUUCUUUGGCAGUGUCUUAGCUGGUUGUUGUGAGUAAUAGUGGGGAAGCAAUCAGCAAGUAUACUGCCCUAGAAGUGCCGCACGUUGGUGGGCCCAAGGGAAGAGACGGGCGAGACUCAGCCAGUGCAGGACGCCAGGACCAGGGCGUCGGAAGCUCUGCUCUGCCAUGUCGGUGGGUAAGGGCUGCCGGGAAGCGAGCUCGAGGCCCUAGCGUGGUCUUGGGCUCACAGAUGUGGAAAGGCGCACAGGCUGGGGCAUGGGCCGUUUCUGGCUGCAACACGUUAUAUAGGAAUAACAAUAAUCAGCAGUUAGGUAUGAAGCCCAGUUUGAAGCCUUUGAAAUGUAUUAUCUUGCGAGCAAGAGUCUCAUGUUAUUCUCAUCUUACAGAGAAGAACACAGAAGUACCAAGAGCAGAAGUAACUAAGGAUGCAGUUGGUAGAAAGGGGGCCCAGGUUUUGAGCCCAAGUAGACUGGCCAGAGCCUCUGUUCUCUUAACCACAGGCUCUUGUCGUAAGAGACGGCCCUAGGGUGGACUCAGGAGCCUGUGGACCUGCUUUACAGAGGGCUUGAGUGUGAACACACGGACACUCUCUCUCCCGCCGUGAGGCAUAUUUCAAAUGCAGUCAUUAGCUUUGGAGAAUGUACCUGGGUGGGCAUUCCAUGCAUCUGCCUUGGGGAGAAGGUUUCUUUUCAGCUGAAGUCAGGCCCAGGAUGUCGGAGGGAAUGAAGAGUCGGUGGAGUUUUCUGCUGCAGUGGCUGAUGAGAAAGAUUCCCCUGAGGGAGCUCAGCGGGAAAGGUUCCCCCAAGGGACCUCAGUGGAGCAGCGCACCCAGUUCUCUGGGUACCAACAGCUCCGCCUGCAGACACCAACUCUGGGUCCAGUGAACAGUGACACUGGCUUGAUUACAUGGCAACAGGAACAGCACCCAAGCCAGAGGACAGAGAGGGAAGACGCCACGUUGGCUUCUCCACAUCUUGGACCACAAGACACAUACCCGUGGCCUCCAGGGAGCCUGGCGUGUAGCCCAUUAGCAGGCCCUGUGCUUUGACACGGCCCCCUAUGCCAGCCUUCGGUCCUUGCUUGUCUCCCAUUGGUGUCUGUGCUUUGACAUUGAGCCAUGGAGACUCAGGUUCUCUGCCCCACUGAUUUGUUUCCAUUGUUCUCCCAUCCUGUGCUUGUAGGAAUUUCCCAAGUCUGAGAGGUGAAUCCAAACACCACCGGCUCCGUGGACUAAGACAAGCCUCCGGAGUCCAUGAGGUGAUGGGGUCACUGGCACUUUUGACACAGACCAAGGACAGCCCCUAUGGUGACCCCCAGUGUCUACAUGUCUCCCGCUGCCCCCCUUCCAGCCCCACCCAGGGAACCUCCCCUGCCUGGACCUCAUGCUCAUGUUGCCUGUCAUGCUUCCUAGCGCUGGAGGGGAGAGGAGCCUGUUGCCAUUCUAAACACUUGAUGAAAUUCCAAAGGCCUCUCGGAGAUGUCUUCUGGGAUUUGGAGUCUCACCUUGGCCCUGACACACUCCAGCUGGCAGGCCCUCCUCCAGUCCAAGGCAGUCCUUUCUUACUGCCGGAAACUAGCGCAGGCAGCCAGGCUCUCUCCAGCAAAGCAGCUUCCUGUGGGAACCGGAGGGCUCGCUUCAGAGUGGGCCCCUUUAAUGCACAUGGAUUGACCACGCCUGUGCCCACUUGACCACAAAUUCCCCUCUGCUCCCCGGGCCGUGGAGCCAGACGUGGGCUGAAGUGGGGCUGAAGGAAUGGCUGGAAUGCCGGCUGCAGUGACAGACCAGCGCUCAGAUCCCUACCGGGAGCUUUGACUGAGGCAACAUUCGGUUUUGCUUCUGAGCUGAAGUCUUCGCAUUUUUCCCAGUUUUAGGCAGAAGUAAAGAAUGUUUGCCUUCUCCCACCAACUGAUUCAGGGUCUUGCACUUGCAAAUUAAAGGGACCACACUCUUGGAUUAUGAUCUAACUAGUCUGUUAAUUCAAGUGCAGGUAAAAUCAUUUGCAAGCAA